UUCGCCCCCAUAGUCAGAAGUUACUGCCUCAAGGGGUGGUAUCCAGUACCGGGGGACAAAGGGGCCUAUCUCCCUGCCGCGAUCUAUUUUGGACCGGCAAAAAACUAUAUUGCCGGGAAGACAGUUAGUAGCCAUUGGGCGAAGAGUGUUACGCCCGG
rnacentral:ncRNA from 20 species